AUUUCAUUGCAUUGGAGCUUUAUUUGCUGCUUCUUUAAUAUGAAAAGCCAUUGGGAGAUCUGGGGAGACGCCAACAGCUGCCUGUGGGGAGACUGAUGCCUCACUUCCCGAUGAACAAGUCAGCACAACUGAAUUGGAGCUCCGCAUCAAGCUUUUGAGAGAAAACAGUGAGUUGCAGAAACUUCAGAAGCAACUUGUGUUUGGUGGGAUCUUGACAGAAGCGGAAUUCUGGGUGGCAUGGAAGAAAUUGCUGGAUAGAGAGUCAAAUAUAAAAUCAAAGCAACGCGUAGGCUUCAAAGGCGCCAUGAUUUCGGACAUUAAACCAGCAACAGAUGGCAGGGUAUGAUACUGAACUCUCCAACCUAGCAUGCCCAUGUCACGAUUUUAUCUUGGAUUUGCAGGACUUGGAGUACAUUUGUUCUCCUUUUUUGCAAUUUCAUUGGCAACGAGAACUUAUGGUUAUUUCUUCCCUAUUUAUCU